CCGUGAAGCUGGAUUCGCUAGUAAUCGCGCAUCAGCCAUGGCGCGGUGAAUACGUUCCCGGGCCUUGUACACACCGCCCGUCAAGCCAUGGGAGCCGGGGGUGCUUGAAGUGCGUCGCCGCAAGGCGCGCCCUAGAGCAAAACCGGUGACUGGGGCUAAGUCGUAACAAGGUAUC
rnacentral:rRNA from 1 species